AUUGCCCAGCAAUGUUUUCCUGCGGACUUAAAAUCCGCAGGCCGCAAGGCUGUGGGGGUUCAAGUCCCCCUGCCCCCA
rnacentral:tRNA from 1 species